rnacentral:rRNA from 1 species
UGGGCAACCUGCCCUCAGCUCUGGGACAACUCCGGGAAACCGGGGCUAAUACCGGAUACGACCUUCCCUCGCAUGGGGGUUGGUGGAAAGUUCUUCGGCUGAGGAUGGGCCUGCGGCCUAUCAGCUUGUUGGUGGGGUAACGGCCUACCAAGGCGACGACGGGUAGCUGGUCUGAGAGGACGACCAGCCACACUGGAACUGAGAUACGGUCCAGACUCCUACGGGAGGCA